rnacentral:lncRNA from 1 species
CUGUUCAUGCCUGCUCCCUUGUUUUGCUUCCUUCUUAUUGUGUCCCCUGUCACCCUACUUUUUCCAUCCCUAGCCAUUAGUUUCCUGAUUAGUCUGCACUUUCUGCUCCAUUUACGAGUAAGUGACUGCCUCUCAAGUACGCUCAUCUCCAGCUUUGCAUGUGCCCAUUUUCUUACCUAACUGGUCAGCAGGCCAUCUGGAACUGGGAAGAAUAUGCGGUUAGAAGCUGUGGGGUAGAAUGAGGUCACUCAGCAGAUGAUGGAAAGGAAAACAGCCACAGGGCUCCCGAAAAAGCCAAAAAGGGGAAGAAGACUGAUAUAAUCAGACUGAGCUUCCAGCUAAAGAGGAAGGCGAUGAACACGGCCACAAUGAUGUUACUGAAGGAAUUGACCAUCAUCCCAACUUGAGAGCCAGUAGCCUGCAAAUCAAAAGGCUCUCUCACAGACCUGGGAUUAGCCAUUUUUGUCAGUGAGCUCUCAGGAGGAUCAAGGAUCGUCUGGUCUCCCUGCUGCUGGAUUGCAUGUGCAUCACCAAGUGCAGCUUUUUAUAGGGUUUGAAGUCAGACUUGCAUGUUUGCUUGUUAGGUCCCACCCAGACCCUCUCAACUGUUGGAAUGGCAGCUGGAGAGGUCAGUAGAAGCCUGAUCUUGUCCUCCAUCCCAGACCAAUACCAGAAGGAUGGUCAGUAAACAAGCCAUGGAUUUAUAUUCGGUGAAUGCUGAAGGAAUGACCAUCCAGAGACUGCCCCACCUGGGAUCCAUUCCAUAUACAAUCACCAAACCCAGACACUAUUGUGGAUGCCAACAAGUGCUUGCUGACAGGAGCCUGAUAUAGCUGUCUCCUGAGAAGCCCUGCCAGUGCCUGACAAAUACAGAAGUGGAUGCUCACAGCCAUCCAUUGGACUGAGCACAGAGCCUCUAAUGAAAGGAGCUAGAGAAAGGACCCAAGAAGCUGAAGGGGUUUGCAUAGGAGGAACAACAAUAUGAACUAACCAGUACUCCCAGAGCUCCCAGGGACUAAACCACCAACCAACCAUGAGUGCACAUGAUGGGACUCAUGGCUCCAGCUGCAUAUGUAGUAGAGGAUGGCCUUGUUGGUCAUCAAUGGGAGGAAAGGCCCUUGGUCUUGUGAAGGCUCUAUGCCCCAGUGUGGGGGAAUGCCGAGGCCAGGAAGGGAGGGUGGGUAGAUUGGUGAGCAGAGGGAGGGAGGGGGAAAGGGGGUUUUCAGAGGGGAAACCGGUAAAGGGGAUAAUAUUUGAAAUGUAAAUAAAGAAAAUAUCUAAUAAAAAGAUGAUGUUAAUGGCUGAUAUUUACAUGACACUUUAUGCAAAAUAAAUAUGUUAAUAAAACAUGAAAAGAUAAAAAUUAAAAAUAAAUGGCUAGAGACAUUUCUACCCA